UACGUAGGGGGCAAGCGUUGUCCGGAAUCAUUGGGCGUAAAGCGCGCGUAGGCGGCCCGGUAAGUCCGCUGUAAAAGUCAAAGGCUCAACCUUUGAAUGCCGGUGGAUACUGUCGGGCUCGAGUCCGGAAGAGGCGAGUGGAAUUCCUGGUGUAGCGGUGAAAUGCGUAGAUAUCAGGAGGAACACCUGUGGCGAAAGCGGCUCACUGGACCACAACUGACGCUGAUGCACGAAAGCUAGGGGAGCAAACAGG
rnacentral:rRNA from 1 species